ensembl:lncRNA
UUUCGGACAGGAUGUCGUUACUUUUGACACCAUGGUGGUUAUUGCCUGAGGGGGAAAAGUUGGAGGCUGGUACUGAAUGGUAAAAGUAGCUGUUGAUGGGCUGUAAAGAAAAAAAAAGUGAAGGCAUUGUCUGUCAGAAAGAAUUAAUGGAGAAAUUGGGGAAGAAGAAGUGAAUAAAAAAAUGAAAUGGAGAGCCUUCCUCCAGAGUGCAUAUCUUGAAAUGAUGCCUCGGUAGAAGAGGGGAGUAGGAAGAGGCGUACAGACACAGUUUGCCAUAUUAACACAAACUGCAGGGGGUUGUGUUGGAGAAAAAGAGAAGUUAGUGGGCAGGAUGAAAGCAAACAUAGGACAGAGACAUUAGCUGGAAAGAAGGAUGACGAGAGAAGGAACGUUUACUGGGAAAAAGAGGAAAAGCCAAUGAGAUUACAGAGCAGGAAAGGGUAAUAACGUGUGAAACCAACAACCGUUCCUCUGUGUGUUGUGAAGGACUACUGUCAUAUAAAUCAUGGUCAUGAACAGGCCAUUUCAUUUAUUGAGGAUGGUGUUUGUUCAUGCCAGAUUUUUACGCCUCACACUAUACGUGUCACUAUACACUCCUUUUAUAAAGUGAUUCUGUCCUCCACCUCCUCGCUGUAGGUAGGAAACAGGAUGACUUUUACCUAUAAUGAGCUGUGGCACAGAUAUGGGCUAUAUCAGCAUGAAACACAACACAACUUGCAAAAAGGUAAAAAUUCAACAAAUAAAUUGUUAACACUUUGUAUGAAGUCCAUAUCCAAAAUUCAUUCGACUUUACAAUUCUUUGUAAAUUGGUAACGAUUCCUAAAUAAGCAUUUUGUAAACUCUAAUAACACCCCAUAAAGCUCUAAUAAUGUGCGUAUAAAUGCGUAAUACAAAUGCGUAUAUAAAUAAUACAAUUUAUACAUGGGUGUAUAAAUAAUUCCUUGAUAACUUAGAGUAAUGUUGUCACUUAUAAAUCUGUGCUGUUCCACAAAAGAUUUAUGACUAAUAAUGACCUGUGAAUAACUACAAUUUAGAUUUAGAAACAUGUAGAAUGGGUUAGUGUAACAAAUAAUCUAUGUUUUCAAACGCGCCCUGAAUAACACAACACCACCAAGUUCGCGGUAAAAACGCUGGUUUAAGAAAAGAGCGAAAUGCCCUUCAAAUUUCAAUGUAGCUAUUAAAAUAUUUUGACAAGACAAUGAGAAAAUGGUCAUGAAAAUGGUGUCUGAGAUGUGUUCAUGACAGUCCAGGUCAACAACUUUAGCAACACAAAUUACAGCCUCACUGGAAUUGUAUAAAUAAGGCUAUAAUUUUAUUUCUUUUUUCUAAAAGAGGUCAUUUUUGUAGUACUAAAUGAUUACAACCAGACUCACUUUAUGAAAGGGGUGUCAGAUGGUUUGAGGGAUACAGUUCUGGCUUUAAUGAAAAAAACAUCCGGGUGGUUCAGGUGGUAGAGCGGGUUGUCCACUAAUCGUAGGGUUGGUGGUUCGAUUCUCAGUGUCCUUGGGCAAGACACUGAACCCCAAGUUGCUCCCGAUGGCAAGUUAGCGCCUUGCAUGGCGGCUCUGCUACCAUUGGGAACCAGUGUAAAGCGCUUUGUAGACCCGCUAAGGUUAAAAAAAUGCACUAAAUAAGUACAGACCAUUCGAUGAACACCAUUCUUAGUAAAUCCCGACAAUACAAGCACCCAUUGUGAACUGAAAUAAUUUAGAUGCAGAGAGUUCUGCUAUACAUCAAAGCAAUGGCAAAUGUAAAGAAAAUGAACAGCUGCCUAAAGAUUUAUCACAGUGUGUUCAAUGCUUUAGAGAAGUUGGGAGAAUUCCUGUACACCGGUGUUUUUAGUGAGAUGAGCAAUUUACUGAAUAACACAGAGAACAUAUCCAUAUGAAUAAAACAUCGGCCCAGUUUCAGCCAUGAACACAGAGGACCUGACAGAAAAGUGGCGCAAACAGCCAGACGCAGGCACACAAACUCCACAAACUGGAUUCUGCUCUGUAUUUCUCCUUUUCCUAGGGUUCAGGUCUUAUAUUUAACUACACUGUUGCGCUGCAUAUACCCAUAAAAUGCUAUCAGCGAUAUAAAAGGUAAAAAAAAAAAAAAGGAAGAAGGUCAAUUUCUACAACAGAUCCAGGUAACAUGAUGUAUCGAUUUCCGGAAUGUAUUUUAAUAUAUUCUGUUCCUAAUAAACAAUAAGAUUAGCUUUACAGUACAUCACGAUCCCGAUAAUGGAGUCUGAUGAUGUUGACAAGUGCUUUAUUCAUAUAACAAGUAGGCAGCUUCGUUUUUAAAGCCUAUUUUAUGCUAUGACCUUUAAAUGAAAGUUGCGAGAAGAUGGAAAGGCACUGAGUAUGACCUGGGUAUUAAGUCCUUUUCCUUUAUUUACCGCAGUGUGAUACUGUGUAGUACUUUUCUCUCCCAAUCAUUUCACACCAACAAGCUAGGAAGAACACGACAGCUGCGUGCCCGUGGAGACGGUACAAAAAAUAUAAAUAAAUAAAUAAAAGGAACAAAAAGCAAAGCUAUUAAGAGGCAAGGUAUUAUGUCUGCACGUGGUGAAAAUUCUGCCUCUUAUCUGUUCCGAACAACACAUUUGUUCAAAACAGCAGCGAUCAAAAGCGCUCCAUCUGAAGAAAUGCAAUCAGAAAUGUUUAGGUUGCUGUGACAGCAUGUCUGUCUUCAUCUUUGGCGGCACAAACAAAGCCUUUCUUCCGUCUCACAGGAGACGAGGAGGACGCUGUUCUGCAAACCCCACAAGGCAUCCAUGCUUUGUGAAGAUCACAAUUAUUGGCACCCAUGUGUGAAAAUACUAUGUUUGUGGAAAGCUGUUCCUAGUGUUUCUGGUAUUAUGCUCCUGGGGAAGGGGGGAAACAAGCCGACUGUUUGAACAGACUGUCAAACUGGUCCAUGGAAAACCACAGGAAAACUAUCAAAGAUGUGUUGAACAGUGAAGGCAGACUUUGGCAUUGUGGUACCUUCGCUUUCAGAGGUUCACUUAGAAGGCAAGAAUAUCCUCCUUUUUGUUUGCUCUCUAGGUACUAGGUACUAAAAAAAGGCUCGAGAUAUUUGAGAGGUGAAAAAAGUGAACCACGUUAAAAACAGACAUAAAAGAUUAUAAGAGAUAAGUGAGGUGUGUCAGUCAAAUAGAAAAUACACAAUACCAGUCCUGAGAUAUUCAUUACUAUACUACAUUAAAUGCAAUGUCUCUUCUUUUUGCAAAAAAAAAAAGAGUUGUUGGGAAACUUGGAGACUUUAUAGGAUUUUACUAAAGCAAGGACAAAUUUCAUGCUAGGUUAGUACAUGGCAAUUGUAUGACAAUUUUGAUUAAGGUCAGUGCUCUUCAUGAUGGUGCGCUGCAUUGAUAUUUUGAUAGCUUAUACUUGCAAUCCUGAGAUCUUUAUUCAGCCGUCAGCAACCAUGCACUAAAUCACGGGGGGGGGGGUUCAUGUAUUAAGGUGACUACAGACAAAUUAGCAUUUUUAUCAUUCGGGUUUAAGGAAGAGUGACUUGUUAUGGAUUUCAUUUAUAGUACACUGGUGAAGUAUGAUAAAAUGCAAUUAGAGACAUAUAGCAAGAGCAGCUAUAUGUUAAGCAGGCAUAUACAGGUUUGAUUUAGGCUGUCCAGAUCAUUUAUGUGGACAAGAACAAGCACGCAGAAUAGCAGUUUAGCCUCAAACCACAGAUCACACCACAGUGUACAAUCAUCUUCAUAUUCAAUGAAGAAAUCCUGAUGAGAGACAAUAAAAAUUCAUAUUCAUUUAAAAUCCCAUUUCAGAUCUCUAUCAAAUACAUACUGUAUGUGUAUGUGUAAUGGGGUUUCUCUGACGGAAAUUUAAAUCAGUAUAGGUGUUAUAUCCUCAGUGCUGUUUGCCCUUUCUUUGAUCUUUCUCUUCAUUAGAUAUCCUCUAUGCGAGACACCUGGAUAUUAUACUGUUUACCGUGUUAAUCCUGAUGUAUUCCUAAUGAACUCUACCAACACUUACAACACCCAAGAAUAUGAUGAACGAGUUAUCAAAAUAUCAAAAGAGUCAUGUUUGCAAACAUUAGUGUGAGACAGGCUGUUAUGCGGACUGAUUCCUCCUCUCUCGUCCUUAUCUGUGAUUAAAUAGGCAGGCUUAGAGAGAGAGAGAGAGAGAGAGAAAGAAAGAGAGAGAGAGAGAGAGAGAGAGAGAGAGA